UACCCCUUCAAAUGCUUUGUAAUCAUCAAAAUCAAUCCAAGGAGCAACAAGAAUGGGCAUAUCUAUACAAAAAGACUUUUGGUAUUAGAGCCGGGGUUUUGAGUUCUAACUUUUAAUAUAGUAUGACGGCCUCCUUCAAAUCCAAUCCAAUGUGCACCAGAAUAUUUUCUUCAAUGGAGUUAUCAAUUGGAAGGGUGCCAGUUGUGAGUUCUCUCACAUCAC
rnacentral:lncRNA from 1 species